ACACCGGCAGCUCUAGUGGUAGCCAUUUUUAUUGGGCCUAAAGCGUUCGUAGCCGGUUUAAUAAGUCUCUGGUGAAAUCCCGUAGCUUAACUAUGGGAAUUGCUGGAGAUACUAUUAGGCUUGAGGUCGGGAGAGGUUAGAGGUACUCCCAGGGUAGGGGUGAAAUCCUGUAAUCCUGGGAGGACCACCUGUGGCGAAGGCGUCUAACUGGAACGAACCUGACGGUGAGGGACGAAAGCUAGGGGCGCGAACCGGAUUAGAUACCCGGGUAGUCCUAGCCGUAAACGAUGCGGACUUGGUGUUAGGAUGGCUUUGAGCCGCCCUAGUGCCGAAGGGAAGCUGUUAAGUCCGCCGCCUGGGAAGUACGGUCGCAAGACUGAA
rnacentral:rRNA from 1 species